AAUAUUGGACAAGGGCGCAAGCCUGAUCGAGCCAUUCCGGGGAGGACGGAGGGCUUUAGGGUUGUAAAACUUUUUUAGCAGGGAGGAUAAUGACGGUGCCUGCAGAAGAAGCUCCGGCUAAAUCUUGCCAGACGCCGCGGUAUACGGAUGGGGCUAGCGUUGUUUGGAAUCAUUGGGCGUAAAGCGCGCGUAGGCGGGCUGAUCAGUUGAGGGGGAAAUUGGGGGGUUAACAUCGGAAAUACGUUCAAUAUGCCAGUCUUGAGUUCAAGAGAGGGAGUGGAAAUCCCAGUGUUGAGGUGGAAUUCGUAAAUAAAGGGAGAACCACAGUUGGGAAGGCGACUCCCUUGGUCGAAUCUGAACGUUCAGUGAGGAAGGCGUGGGGAGCAACCGGAAUUGAAUACCUGGGAGGUCCACGCCUU
rnacentral:rRNA from 1 species